GAUCGCUCUUCUGCUGGUCGAUUCGAGCCGAAGACACUGUCAGGUUGGGAGUUUGGCUGGGGCGGCACGGCUGUCAAAUGAUAACGCAGGUGUCCUGAGGUGAGCUCAAUGAGAACGGAAAUCUCAUGUAGAACAAAAUGAUACAAGCUCACUUGAUUUUGAUUUUCAGUAUGAAUAGAAAUUGUGAAAGCAUGGCCUAUCGAUCCCUUAGUCCUUAUGAGUUUUAACCUAGGGUGUCAGAAAGGUUACC